AUGAACGCUGGCGGCGUGCUUAACACCUGCAAGUCGCACGAAGCACUUUAUUUGAUUUCCUUCGGGACUGAUUAUUUUGUGACUGAGUGGCGGACGGGUGAGUAACGCGUGGGUAACCUGCCUUGUACAGGGGGAUAACAGUUGGAAACGGCUGCUAAUACCGCAUAAGCGCACAGCAUCGCAUGAUGCAGUGUGAAAAACUCCGGUGGUAUAAGAUGGACCCGCGUUGGAUUAGCUAGUUGGUGAGGUAACGGCCCACCAAGGCGACGAUCCAUAGCCGACCUGGGAGGGUGACCGGCCACAAUGGGACUGAGACACGGCCCAAACUCCUACGGGAGGCAGCAGUGGGGAAUAUUGCACAAUGGGCGAAAGCCUGAUGCAGCGACGCCGCGUGAGCGAAGAAGUAUUUCGGUAUGUAAAGCUCUAUCAGCAGGGAAGAUAAUGACGGUACCUGACUAAGAAGCACCGGCUAAAUACGUG
rnacentral:rRNA from 1 species